GUCUUUGUGGCUUAGUCGGGCGAACACCCGACUAUGGUGCGGUAGAACUCGGGUUCUAGCCCCGGUGAAGGCA